ACGGAGGGUGCAAGCGUUGUUCGGAAUUACUGGGCGUAAAGCGCGCGUAGGCGGUUAUGCAAGUCAGAUGUGAAAGACUUGGGCUUAACCCGAGAACUGCAUUUGAUACUGCGUGACUUGAGUACAGGAGAGGGAGAUGGAAUUCCCGGUGUAGAGGUGAAAUUCGUAGAUAUCGGGAGGAAUACCAGUGGCGAAGGCGAUUUCCUGGCCUGUUACUGACGCUGAGGCGCGAAAGCGUGGGGAGCAAACAG
rnacentral:rRNA from 1 species